UACAGAGGUCUCGAGCGUUAGGCGGAAUCACUGGGCUUAAAGCGUGUGUAGGCGGAUCGUUAAGUGCCUUGUGAAAUCCCACGGCUCAACCGUGGAACUGCUUGGCAUACUGGCGGUCUUGAGCAACCUAGGGGCGAGCAGAACAAAUGGUGGAGCGGUGAAAUGCGUAGAUAUCAUUUGGAACGCCAAUGGUGAAAACAGCUCGCUGGGGGUUUGCUGACGCUGAGACACGAAAGCCAGGGGAGCAAACGGG
rnacentral:rRNA from 1 species